CACUUAUCAGACAUGUAAGAGCCAGACCAGCAUUUCUGAUCGUUAUCAAGGAUGAUACUUUGAGCUCUAAAGCAGUCACAUACGACCUGCGGGGCCAUGGGGACCAACUGAGCCAUCUAUACCCUGCAAAAGGAAACAAAGAGGUGUGUGAGCAUGGCUGGCAGAGCCCCUGGGAAGGACAUGGACUCAGUAACGAAGAGUGACACAGAAAGACAAGGGACUCACCCGGGGUCCUGGCUUUCCGUCUAAGCCAGAUGCUCCCUGUGUGGUUAGGUGGAAGCAUGGAUGAUGGGUACAACACCAAUGACAAGAACAUGAGAUUAGUAAGUGGUACUGAUGAAUAAACAUAAUUCAAACGUACA